rnacentral:rRNA from 2 species
AAAUUGAAGAGUUUGAUCAUGGCUCAGAUUGAACGCUGGCGGCAGGCCUAACACAUGCAAGUCGAACGGUAACAGGAAGCAGCUUGCUGCUUCGCUGACGAGUGGCGGACGGGUGAGUAAUGUCUGGGAAACUGCCUGAUGGAGGGGGAUAACUACUGGAAACGGUGGCUAAUACCGCAUAACGUCGCAAGACCAAAGAGGGGGACCUUCGGGCCUCUUGCCAUCAGAUGUGCCCAGAUGGGAUUAGCUUGUUGGUGAGGUAACGGCUCACCAAGGCG